CACUAGGAAUGCACUGCGGAGGAAGAGAUAGCUUGUCCGCCACAGUUAAUGGGUUAAAUCAGGUAUGGUUCAUUUGAUCUCUCCAUCUGUUACUUGGAUAACUCUGAUAAUUCUAGAACUAAUACCUGCUGACGAGCGCUGACCUCCCAGAGUGUGUGCAUUUAUUAGACACAGACUAAUCCGGGCUCGCCCCGGCCGCUUUGGUGACUCUUGAUAACCUUGGGCCGACUGCACGUCCCUGUGUCGAAGACGAUGCAUUCGGAUGUCUUGCCUAUCAACUUUAUAAGAUAUUUUCUGUGCCUACCAUGGUGACCACGGGUAACUGGAAUUCGGGUUCCAUUCUGGAGAAGGAGCCUGAGAAACAGCUACCACAUCCAAAGAGCGCAGCAGGUGCGCAAAUUACCCACUCCGGACUCUGGGAGGUAGUGACGAAAAAAUAACAAUACAAGACUCUUUGAGGCCUGUAAUUGUAAUGAGUACACCUUAAAUCCUUUAACGAGGAUCCAUUGGAGGGCAAGUCUGGUGCUAGCAGCCGCAGAAAUUCCAGCUUCAGUAGCAUAUGUUGAAGUUGCUGCAGUUACAAAGCUCAUAGUUUGAUUUUGGGGGUCGAGCUGUCAGUACGCUAUGAGGCAAAGCUACCGCCUGUCCCAGCCCCUGCCUCUCGCCACCCCUUUGAUGCUCUUGACUGAGUGAGCUGGAGGUCCGAAGUGUGUAAAAAAAUUGAGUGUUCAGUUCAAGCCGGUCACCCGAAUACUUCAGCUAGAAAUAAGGGAAUAGGACUCUGGUUCAAUUUUGUUGGUUUUCGGAACAGGGGCCGUGUUUAAGAGGGACGGCCAGAGGCAUUUGUGUUGUGCCGCUAGAGGUAUAAUUUGUGGACCGAUGCAAGACGAACCAAAGCGAAAGCAUUUGCCAAGAAUGUUUUCAUUAAUCAAGAACGAAAACCAGAGGUUCGAAGACUAUCGGAUACUGUCGUAGUUCUGACCAUAAACGAUGCUAACUAGUAAUCCAGCGUCUUUAUUCGUGUUGCUUGCCGAGCAGCUUCCAGGGAACCAAAGUCUUUGGGUUCUGGGGGGGAGUAAGGUUGCAAAGCUGAAACAUAAAGACAUUGACGGAAGGGCACCACCAGGAGUGGAGUCUGCGGCUUAAUUUGACUCAGCAUGGGAAAUCUCACCCAGACACGGAAAGGAUUGACAGAUUGAUACCUGUGGGUGGUUGUGCAUGGCUGUUCUUAGUUGGAGCAUUUUGUCUGGUUAAAUCCGAUAACGAAUGAGACUCCUCCAUGCUAACUAAUUACGCAAUCCCCAGCGGUCGGCGUUCAAAUUCUUAGAAGCUCAACUGGCGUUCAGCUACACAAGAUCGUGCAAUAACAGGUCUGUGAUACCCUUAGAUGUCCGGGGCUGCACGUGCGCGACACUGAACAGAUCAGCGUGUCUUUACCCUUAGCCGAACCCCAUUCAUGAUAGGGAUUGCAAUUAUUUCCCAUGAACGAGGAAUUCCCAGUAAGUGCGGGUCAUAAGCUUGCAUUGAUGAAGUCCCGGCCGGCCCUUUGUACACACUGCCCGUUGCUGCUACCGAUUGGAUGGUUUAGUGAGGUCCUCAGAUCGUCCUGGCGGGGAUCAGCAACGGCCCUGUCAGUGCGCCGAGAAGACGAUUAAACUUGAUUAUCUAGAUGAAGUAAAAGUUGUAACAAAGUUUCCGUAGGUGAACCUGCAGAAG
rnacentral:rRNA from 1 species